UUUAUAAAAUAUCUUU
rnacentral:sRNA from 1 species